CCUACGGGUGGCAGCAGUGAGGAAUAUUGGUCAAUGGGCGCGAGCCUGAACCAGCCAAGUCGCGUGAGGGAAGACGGUCCUAUGGAUUGUAAACCUCUUUUGUCGGGGAGCAAAAGACGCCACGCGUGGCGUUCCGAGAGUACCCCAAGAAAAAGCAUCGGCUAACUCCGUGCCAGCAGCCGCGGUAAUACGGAGGAUGCGAUCGUUAUCCGGAUUUAUUGGGGUUAAAGGGUGCGCAGGCGGAAGAUGAAGUCAGCGGUAAAAUUGAGGGGCUCAACCUCUUCGAGCCGUGGAAACUGGUUUGCUUGAGUGAGUGAGAAGUAUGCGGAAUGCGUGGUGUAGCGGUGAAAUGCAUAGAUAUCACGCAGAACUCCGAUUGCGAAGGCAGCAUACCGGCGCUCAACUGACGCUCAUGCACGAAAGUGUGGGUAUCGAACAGGAUUAGAUACCCGAGUAGUC
rnacentral:rRNA from 1 species